AGCAACGUAGCCAAGUGGCCUAAGGCGCCAGGUUCGGAUCCUCUGAAUUGAUGAUCCUGGUCUCAGAUCCUGGCCUAAGUAAUGGGGCGUCGGUUCGAAUCCCACCGCUGUCA